rnacentral:rRNA from 1 species
CCUGCGGGUGGCAGCAGUGAGGAAUAUUGGUCAAUGGGCGCAAGCCUGAACCAGCCAAGUCGCGUGAGGGAUGACGGUCCUAUGGAUUGUAAACCUCUUUUGUCGGGGAGCAAGGCCCGCCACGUGUGGCGGGAAGGAGAGUACCCGAAGAAAAAGCAUCGGCUAACUCCGUGUCAGCAGCCGCGGUACUACGGAGGAUGCGAGCGUUCUCCGGAUUUCGUGGGUUUAAAGGGUUCGUAGGCGGAAGGCUAAGUCAGCGGUCAAAUGGCGGUGCGAGACACCGGCCUGCCGUUGAAACUGGUCUUCUUGAGUGAGCGAGAAGUAUGCGGAAUGCGUGGGGUAGCGGGGAACGGCAUAGAUAUCACGCAG